UUAUUGAACGUUGGCGAACGCCGGCGGACAGCAAUUGACUUAUUGUUUGGCCCUCUCAAGGCUGAAACAGGGGUUCGAUUCCCCUAGGGAGCGCCA
rnacentral:tRNA from 1 species